GGGGCUGUGGCUAAGUGGUAGAGCGCUCGCCUAGCAUGUGUGAGGCGCCAGGUUUGAGCCUCAGCACCA
rnacentral:tRNA from 1 species